UGGAACCAUAGGAACAUGUCACAAACCAAAGAUUAUGAUCAAUACAGUUUCUGUGUACCUGAGGUCAAAU
rnacentral:snoRNA from 1 species